ensembl:ncRNA asRNA:CR44818 antisense RNA:CR44818
UAAGCUGCCUGCACCGGCAGGACGGACACCACCGGCGGCUGACGACGUGGCCACAGGCCCAGCUUGCUCAGUCGCUUCUCCUCGUCGAUGUUUGUGUCGUGCAUGUCGUGCAUUCGCAGGACGUGGAGCGGCUUCUCGGAAUCCUUCGAUCGAUUGCUUCUCAUGGCCAGCGGAUGGAAGGGAUCGUCUCCGUAGAGCUCGCAGUAACGGGCACUCUUCACCAGCCCGAUGAUCUGGAACAUGGCCACGCAGGUGCAGGCAUUGUAGCCCACAAACACUGAGAGAAGUCGGGGUGGAGUCACUAGAGCAACUAAAAAUGAAUACUUACAUAUAUAGAAACAGCCCAAUAGAGUGAGAAUGAUAAGAAGGCCCAAGUUAAUCUGCUUCUUUAGCAUGAUCAUCAGAACAAUAUGAAGGAACGUAAUGUGUAUAAAGUAGACAAACUCACAAAAUGCCAAGGGUAGUAGAAACCAUUUCCGUAACUGGUUGAAACAAAAACCCUUUUGCUAUAAAUCAAAUCUAUUAAAAGGAACCUAACUUACCUUAAUGGCACCAUAAAUACUUAAGAAGGCUGCAGCCGAAUGCAUAAAGGAUAUUACGUGGACAAAUGCGCAUAAGAUCUCGGGAUCUAGUAAUUCAAAAUAUUUUGUCAAAAUAUAUCAUCUAAAAGGCCAGUAAAUAUUUCACUGUAUAAUACCCACCGUUCUGACUCCAACUGAUGGACUUUCGAACCCACUUUCUGUCCUUAU